rnacentral:rRNA from 1 species
AGUGAACGCUGGCGGUAUGCCUAAUACAUGCAAGUCGAACGGCAGGACAGUAAGAUCGUGCUCUUACCGUUGGCGACGGGCGGGUGGGUGAGGAGUGGAUCAGAAACUUCUUUUUCUUGGGUGAUUACGUGGGGACACUGACACUAAUAGCGCAUACGACCUACGGGUGGAAUCAAGGGAGCUUCACACCUUGGGCGAUUCAUUGAGCCGAUGUCGGAUUAGCUAGUUGGCAGGGUAAAGGCCCACCAAGGCGACGAUCCGUAGCCGGCCUGAGAGGAUGAUCAGCCACACUGGAACUGAGACACGGUCCAGACUCCUACGGGAGGCAGCAGUGGGGAAUCUUCCGCAAUGGGCGAAAGCCUGAUCGAGCAACACCGCGUGAGUGAAGAAGGUCUUCGGAUUGUAAAGCUCUUUUAUUAGGAAAGAACAGCAGUAGGUUAAUACCUGGAUGUUUUGACGGUACCUAAAGAGUAAGCCCCGGCUAACUUCGUG